CACGAACGCUGGCGGCAGGCUUAUCACAUGCAAGUCGAGCGCCCCGCAAGGGGAGCGGCAGACGGGUGAGUAACGCGUGGGAAUCUACCCAUCUCUACGGAAUAACGCAUGGAAACGUGUGCUAAUACCGUAUACGUCCUUCGGGAGAAAGAUUUAUCGGAGAUGGAUGAGCCCGCGUUGGAUUAGCUAGUUGGUGGGGUAAAGGCCUACCAAGGCGACGAUCCAUAGCUGGUCUGAGAGGAUGAUCAGCCACACUGGGACUGAGACACGGCCCAGACUCCUACGGGAGGCAGCAGUGGGGAAUAUUGGACAAUGGGCGCAAGCCUGAUCCAGCCAUGCCGCGUGAGUGAUGAAGGCCCUAGGGUUGUAAGGCUCUUUCACCGGUGAAGAUAAUGACGGUAACCGGAGAAGAAGCCCCGGCUAACUUCGUGCCAGCCGCCGCCGUAACAC
rnacentral:rRNA from 1 species